rnacentral:rRNA from 1 species
AGUGAACGCUGGCGGCGUGCUUAACACAUGCAAGUCGAACGAGAACGGGCUAUAGCUUGCUAUAGUUGUCAGCUAAGUGGCGCACGGGUGGGUAAUGUAUAGGUAAUAUGCCUCUUACUAAGGGAUAACAAAUGGAAACGUUUGCUAAUACCUUAUACUCCUUAUUAACAGAAGUUAAUAAGGGAAAGAUUUAUUGGUAAGAGAUUAGCCUGUAUUGUAUCAGUUAGUUGGUGGGGUAAUGGCUUACCAAGACUAUGACACAUAACUGGUUUGAGAGGAUGAUCAGUCACACUGGAACUGAGACACGGUCCAGACUCCUACGGGAGGCAGCAGUGGGGAAUAUUGCACAAUGGACGAAAGUCUGAUGCAGCAACGCCGCGUGGAGGAUGACACAUUUCGGUGCGUAAACUCCCUUUAUAUGAGAAGAUAAUGACGGUAUUAUAUGAAUAAGCACCGGCUAACUCCGUGCCAGCCGCCGCGGUAA